rnacentral:rRNA from 1 species
UGUAACGGUGGAAUGUGUAGAUAUCGGGAAGAACACCAAUGGCGAAGGCAGGUCUCUGGGCCGGUACUGACGCUCAGGAGCGAAAGCGUGGGGAGCGACCAGGAUUAGAUACCCUGGUAGUCCACGCCGUAAACGGUGGAUGCUGGAUGUGGGGCCCGUUCCACGGGUUCCGUGUCGGAGCUAACGCGUUAAGCAUCCCGCCUGGGGAGUACGGCCGCAAGGCUAAAACUCAAAGAAAUUGACGGGGGCCCGCACAAGCGGCGGAGCAUGCGGAUUAAUUCGAUGCAACGCGAAGAACCUUACCUGGGCUUGACAUGUUCCCGACGGUCGUAGAGAUACGGCUUCCCUUCGGGGCGGGUUCACAGGUGGUGCAUGGUCGUCGUCAGCUCGUGUCGUGAGAUGUUGGGUUAAGUCCCGCAACGAGCGCAACCCUCGCCCCGUGUUGCCAGCGGAUUAUGCCGGGAACUCACGGGGGACCGCCGGGGUUAACUCGGAGGAAGGUGGGGAUGACGUCAGAUCAUCAUGCCCCUUACGUCCAGGGCUUCACGCAUGCUACAAUGGCCGGUACAACGGGAUGCGACGCGGCGACGCGGAGCGGAUCCCUGAAAACCGGUCUCAGUUCGGAUCGCAGUCUGCAACUCGACUGCGUGAAGGCGGAGUCGCUAGUAAUCGCGAAUCAGCAACGUCGCGGUGAAUGCGUUCCCGGGCCUUGUACACACCGCCCGUCAAGUCAUGAAAGUGGGCAGCACCCGAAGCCGGUGGCCUAACCCCUUGUGGGAUGGAGCCGUCUAAGGUGAGGCUCGUGAUUGGGACUAAGUCGUAACAAGGUAGCCGUACCGGAAGGUGCGGCUG